rnacentral:rRNA from 1 species
AGAGUUUGAUUAUGGCUCAGGAUGAACGCUAGCGAUGGGCCUAACACAUGCAGGUCGAGGGGCAGCACAUGAAGUAGCAAUACGGAUGGUGGCGACCGGCGCACGGGUGAGUAACGCGUAUGCAACCUGCCUACAACAGGGGAAUAACCCGUUGAAAGACGGACUAAUACCCCAUAACACAGGGAUCCCGCAUGGGAAUAUUUGUUAAAGAUUUAUCGGUUGUAGAUGGGCAUGCGUUCCAUUAGCUUGUUGGUGAGGUAACGGCUCACCAAGGCAGCGAUGGAUAGGGGAACUGAGAGGUUUAUCCCCCACACUGGUACUGAGACACGGACCAGACUCCUACGGGAGGCAGCAGUGAGGAAUAUUGGUCAAUGGACGCAAGUCUGAACCAGCCACGUCGCGUGAAGGAAGACGGCCCUACGGGUUGUAAACUUCUUUUGUAAGGGAAUAAAGUGUAGUACGUGUACUAUUUUGCAUGUACCUUACGAAUAAGGAUCGGCUAACUCCGUGCCAGCAGCCGCGGUAAUACGGAGGAUCCGAGCGUUAUCCGGAUUUAUUGGGUUUAAAGGGUGCGCAGGCGGGAGAUUAAGUCGGCGGUGAAAUUUUGCAGCUCAACUGUAAAAGUGCCUUCGAAACUGGUUUCCUUGAGUGUGGAUGAAGUAGGCGGAAUUUGUGGUGUAGCGGUGAAAUGCAUAGAUAUCACGAGGAACUCCGAUUGCGCAGGCAGCUUACUAAACCAUAACUGACGCUCAGGCACGAAGGCGUGGGGAUCAAACAGGAUUAGAUACCCUGGUAGUC